GUAAACACCUAACCCGAAGCGAAGAAUAAUACGCUCAUCCUCAUAUAUAUAUCAAGUAUGAAUUUAGAGAUUAGUGAGGAAGAUUUGUAUUGACUUUUGACUAAGUCCGUUUACCUUUCUUAUGGCCCAGAGAACACCGGAUGACUAAUCUUAGUAUCUAACUCCGUAAGCGCUUCCAUAUAUGAUUACAAAGUGCCGGCAAACCUGAGACAAGGAAAGGAGAAGGGCUUGAAGAGUGGAAUUGGAUCCGAAGUUGCCUUGAAAGCCUAAAGUAGAGAGUCAAGGGCGGGGGACAAGACGGCCGAUGGCUUCCACUCCAUUUCCUCACACUUAUAUUAGAAUUCGAACAAGCCCAAAGCGCAAGUAGGUCCAAGUCGUCACGAGCAGCCACCGUUUCGGAUCCAAAAGUCAAGAGGGCGAGUUGACUCGGAGAUCCUGCUCCGAACUCCACUUGAAGAACCGAGAUUAUAGUCUUUUCAAUCAAGCACUCGAAGGCGCUCGACUUUCAACGAAUCACUCCUUAGGGGGGCAAGUCCUGUUUCGUUAGCACAGCUCACUGAUCGCCAACUACAGGCUCGAUAUGACCAAUCUGCUCUUCUUACUUGAGAGUUUGAUACCUUCCGAUUUGAAUAACUCGCUGACGCGGUAGUCCGGAUCGGAACCCGUUUGUUAUAGAUUUGAUGUUACUGGUUAUGCUCCUACUUCUACUAGCUUUGUUAAGAGCAACCAAGCAACUACUAAUGUAUAGCGGUAGCGAGCGGAAAGGACUUACCCGCAUGAAACAACUAAGUAAUAGAAUUGAACUACCGGUAUUGAACAAGAGAAGAGAUUUCCCCUCCUAGCCUAGGUAUUAUAGAAAGCUUGUUCCCCAGCUCUCGCUCUAGGUAUGAUAGAAAGAAGUGACCAACUGCUCUCGCUCUAGGUAUGAUAGAAAGCUUGUUCCCUGCUAUUGCUCUAGUAGUUGAUUGGCGUCUAGGUUCGUUGCGAGGGAAGGUUAGCUAGCUCUAAGUCUGCUCGGCAAGUUCCAUUUGUUGAGUGAGAGUUGUUAUCAUGCCAGAUCGGAAAAGGCAAAAGCGCGUGGACCUGCUCACGGGAGUAAGGCCUGCUCAGUAGUGCAGUAGUGGGCAGACGGGCCAUCUUAAAUGAUUGAUAUAGGAGGAAAAGGAGCAGCUGUAGAAAAGCAAUUACACUGGGUUUGGUUCUCAAUUCCAUAGAGUAUGUGCAGUGAAGUUUGAAUUUACCCGGUUAGCUAGACCUUUCGCUACUGUCCUUAAACUAUAGUUCAACCGCUUUGCUUUAACAACAAGAUUGAACUGAGAAGUGAACGCAACGCGGAGUUGGUUAAACCUGAGCGUAGCUAUGUCGCGUGAAGAACCUAAGCUUCCGACUUUAGAAACACCUUCCACAGAGCACAAGAAAGAGGUAGGGUCGCACAAGAUAGAGGUAGGCUUGUCAGAUGGAUAGCUAUAGUCUCUAGUUGCUUUCUUUAUGUUUUGGGUAGUAAUUUCUUGUAAUAUAGCUUUUACAGGGAGACCAAGAGAAAGGGGUUUGGUUUGAUUUAACGCCGAGAAAGAGAUGGAGAUAUAGAGCCAGUGAGACCAAGAUCCAGAGGUCAAGGAUUUAACGCCGAGAAAAGGAUAGAUGGAGAUAUAGAGCCAGUGAGACACAGCUUCAGCGGUGCUAUCCAAAACCGCCUUCUCUGUGCUAUCAGAGAAACUCGUCCUUUCUCUUUACCUUUGUGCUUCCGUGGUUCGGUCAGCUUUGAAGCAUCGUCCCGAAUCAAGUCAUACAAGAAGUAAGUUGAAGUAAGAAUGGAACUAGUACUAGAUGCGGGCCAAGUAAGCGGAUGUAGUGAGGCCAAGGUACUACUAAACAAGGUACUCUUGCUAAAGCCACUCAAAAGUCAUAAAGUAAGUCAGAUCUGAUGCUGCCGAGCCGGG
rnacentral:lncRNA from 1 species